AUGGUGCAUGGAGACCACCAUGGCAUCUCUGUGGCCCUACUUUAUCCCAAAUGUGUCACUGAGGACAAUGCUUUUGGAAACCCAGCUACCAUCUGCAUUCGGGAUUUUAUUCUCCUCUGCAUCCCUGUCAUCCCAGCCUGCAUGCAAGGCCUCUGUGUAAGGUGUGCCGUCUACUUCGGGGGGACAUGGGGAUGAUGCAAGUGGUGCCUCCUUGGAGUCCUUUUGGCUCCAGUGUCCCAAUGACUGGGAAUCUGGGAAUCGAAAACUCAAGUAUUUGAGGCUUUUUUUUGUGUAGUUAAGUAUCCCAAGGAAUCUAGGAGCGAGAGUUUAUAAAAGCGGGCUUAAUUUAAUUCUGCAGCAUGUAUGCAUUUUUACUCAGAAGCCUUAACUCUUGUCAAGUAUAAUUCACUUUCUUGUGGCUUUAAAUUUUACCCGACUCUGAAAUAGGGUGGCUUUUAUGGUAAGAAUUGCUUUCCUCCUGAGCUAGAAGCAUAACCAUGCAUAGGACAGUAAGAGUAAGUUAAAUGAGAAUGAUUACUAAAUGCAGCCUCAAAGAGAAGAUAGAUAAUAGCACUUUGCAUUCAUACCAGCCUGCCUUUCAUCUGAGUAUCUCAAAGGAAGGCAAAAUGUAGCUGAUACUGUGUUAUGGUUGAAAAUUACAAUUGUGCAAUUUUCUUAUUCCUGAGUGUUUCCCUUCUCAAACAUGAUACUGAGUUAAAACGUAUCUAGAAUUCAAUGUAUAUUGAUUCUGAACACAGGUUUCUCUUUCUGCCCCUCAAACAUCAACGCUGAGUUGCAAAGGCAUCAAUGGACCACCUGCCUUUGUGGUUUUGAAGCAUUUGCUACCAUUGGAGAAAAACAUAAUAAGGGAUGGGCAGACAUCUUUCUGAGCUGUUCUAAAGUUUUUGAGGGAAGACUUCAACUACUUCCAUUUUGACCUCAGUUUGUACUUUCUAAUUGAUCAAGUUCUUUCCAGCUUAUCUCUUAGCCACGACCUAGCAGGUGAAGCAUUCUGUGAUGGGACCUGAAACCACACCCUCAGGCAGUAAGGAGUGCUGGGAGCCAGCAAGACCUCACCUGACUACCUCAAGACCCUGAUCGGCCUGACCUUCACUGCCCAGCUGCAUUGACCCCCACCAACCUCUGUCCCGCAUUUUCCUUACAUAAACCUAGAAGUAUUUUCAACACUUUGGGGCCAGUCUUUGAGACAUUAGUCCACUGUCUUCCUGGUGCUAGCCUCUGAAAUUCCUUUCUUGUUUCAUCACCACUCAGCUCUCUGCCUUUGGAAUUUGUCAGCAGUGAGUGGUAAAACCUGGUCUGCUUGGGACCCCCAGAGCCAGGUGUUCCUGUGCCCUGGGACUCCUGUUAACUUUUGGUGGAAAAAUUAGAGGUGAAGAUGGAAAGAGAAUAUUUUCUAUGUCCCCCAAAUAGAUUAAAUCAUGGUGCUAACACUUCAAGAAUGCAUCAGAGAGGGGCACCUGGGUGGCUCAGUGGUUGAGCUUCUGCCUUUGGCUGGGGUUUUGAUCCUGGGGUCCUGGGAUCAAGUCCUACAUCAGGCUCCCUGCCGGAAGCCUGCUUCUCCCUCUGCCUAUGUCUGCCUUCCUCUGUGUGUCUCUCAUGAAUAAAUAAAUAAAAAUCUUAAAAAAAAAAAAAAGA
rnacentral:lncRNA from 12 species